CUGUUUUUGACACCAAAUAUGAAAGAUUAUGUUGACACAAACGAGGCUCAUCACCAAUGAACAGUCUCGUCUAGUCAUCUUUUGUUUCAAUUGGCGCAAGUUUUCCUUGUGUCCAGGUCUUCAGCAUCUGUAGUGCAGCUUUGGGUUGAUCCAUAGGAACCAUGUGACCAGCAUUGUGGACCUUGAGAAAAGCGAGAGGUCCAUGGUUCUUUAGCUGUCCCGCUUCUUUACCAUCAACUAGAUAUGGAACAGUCGGAGAUGCCUCAAAAUCUUUCUGACCAGACCAUUUCAUGGCAUGAACCCAAUUUGAAUUCCCUGCAUAAUUACAUAGAAAUUAAACACACCCAUUAGCCAUUGCUGCUCCAACAUAAUAACAAAGCCGUUCAAUCGAAACAAGGAAGCUUACCGAGCCAGUUGCAUAUGAGAUCAUAUUCCCCAGCAUAUAUAAGCAUCUUGAUUCCAUCCUCAAGGAGAGCAGGAAUACCUACUUCCAUAUCCCUCAUCCAGUCCCUCUGCAUGGCAUCAUAUACCACUGUGCUACAUGAAACAAAUUCCACGUCCCCUACUCCUAGAGCCUUCUUAACAGAUUUCAAGCCCAUGAAACUCUCCAGGUUUGAGAAGUCAUAGCACAGGGACCCCUCACAUUGCUUUCUGAUAUCAUAGUACUGCAUGUCACAGACAUAACAUAUUCUUGUCAAAUUUGAAUGUGUUUUUGUUUCUGCAACAUGCUCUCACUGAUACAAGGAAAGAAUUCCUGUGCUUUCUUACAUUUAUAUUACCAGCGACAUUCAGGAUGCUAUUGAAGAUAAAAUUGCAGUUAGUAUAUGCAGUCUCACAGGCGUCUCCACCGUCAGGGCCUGGCAUGAUACUUGAAAUAUUAGAAGGAGAAAGAGCAAAGUUUCCAUUAUUAUGGCUCCUACAUAGAUUUUAUGUUAUCUUCCUUUUCCACAGAGACACUGGAAGCGAGGAAUUAGAAUAAUUACCACAAGAUUUUGCCGAUUCUUCACACUCUGGAAUCAACUCGUUGAUACUAUCAUAAUCAGAUUUUCCAAUAAUCUUCAUGUUCAAUGCAUAAUCAGUAUAUGCCUUGUAUUGGAUUGAAGGAUCAGUAAGACCAUUACCAAUUGCAAAUCCCUGUUUGGACAUUUGAAGUUGACAACAAAGUUACAAAUGGAGCAAACAACCAAGGUAACCGAGAUGGAUCAAAUUCAAAAAUAUACCUUAAGGUUUAUAUGAACCCCUUCGUUUGCUUUGUUUCCUUUCUGAACCCGAGCAGCAAACGCAGGAAUGUAGUGGCCAGCGUAUGAUUCUCCAGUUAUGUAAAAGUCAUUCUUCACGAACUCAGGAUGCUUUGCAAAAAAUGCCUGACAUUACAGGGUUUUACACUUUCUGAGAAUCAAUAACAUGAAGGAUUUUACAGUUGACAAGAGUGAUUUGCACAAAGAGGUAUACGUAAAUGUUUUAGAUUUGGCACAGAAAGAUAAGGAGACGCAGAGUGACCUGCAUAAAAUCAUAUAGAUCGUUGCUAACAGCCUCUUCAUUGUGGCGAAUGUCACCCUCAUCGGAACUAUAACUGAAGCCUGUUCCAGUAGGCUGGUCUACAAACAGAAUGUUCGAUACCUGAAAAAUGAGAAUAUAACUUGUAUAAACUCUCACAUGACAUGAUCGCCAAUCAUGCUAAUUUGGCAGUGUUUCUGUCUGAAACAUUUUUAGUGAAAAUCACUUGUCAAAUACUUCUUCAGGAAUCACUACAAAUAAUUUUUCAACUUUUUGAAAGUGUUUUGUAAAUUUUAUGGAAUGUCUUGUUUUUUUUCAAAAAUACUUUUUAAGUUAAAAAUGCUUUCUAAAACUAGAAUUGCUUUCUAAAAAAUACUGUUAAAUGGAAAAAACAUUUUUUAGGCUAAAAAUCAUUAAGAAAGGACUCUAAAUAAAAGAAAUCAGAAAGAAAAACUAGAAUACCUGGUCCCAACCAUACUGGUUCCAUGAUAGAGUCAAGUUAUCUCUUACAUGAAAAGGACCAUUUUCAUAAAAUAAAGCUACUUCACUGCCACAUCCUGGGCCACCGGUCAACCACACAACAACUGGGUCCUUCUUGCUGUGCCGGGAUUCGAAGAAAAAGUAAAACAUCCUACAGUCCAGAACAAGAAACAAUGCAGAGAUUUUUUCAAUAAUCAAACACCCUCCCUUCAUGAAAGUAAAUUUGAAACAUUUGAUGAAUACAUUAAUCCAAUGACAUUUUGACCUCAAAUUUAUUACAAACAAAUAAAUUAAUCACCAGAAUGCAGAAAGACUAUAUCAGAAAUUGAUUCAUAUAAAUAUGAAGGUACCUAGAAUAUGAACAAGGCCACACAACUUACCUUGCAUCUAUAGAAUGAGCGAGCCUAAAGUAGCCAGCAUGGUGCCCAAGGUCCUGAAUGGAAGUCCCAGAAGACCCAUCAAGAAAAGGGAACUCAAGACUCUUUUCAAUCAUCCUGGGAGCCACAGCUUCUCCAUGACUAACAUCCAGGUUUACAGCCUUUUUAGGUGACAAGUUGAGGCUUCUUAUGAGCCUUUCUGCUUGCAUUUUUGGAGAAUUCAAAGCUGAAGACAUGCGAAGAUGGGUCUUGUCCACUCUUGCAGCUGAGAAUUGUGAAGAGAUGAGAACAAGGAGAAGAGAGAGAAAGUGGAGAGAGAAAGUUGACGCCAUUGUUGCGUGUCUGUGUGCGGGUUCUGGAGGUCUAGUUGGUGACAUUUAUAAGAUAAACUAUGCUUAAAGAUAACGGCCCUCAGUCCGUUACUUCACUCCAACAAUUAAUAUUCACAUCUCAAUAGAUUGAAAUUGGGAAAAAAGGGAUUCUAUGCAAGGAAACACAGCACUACAUUUGAUAAUGCAAUACAAAGGCAAAUUAAUGAGUUAGAAUAAUUGGAAAAUAGAUUAAAAUAAUUUAUAUAAUUAAAGUAUUUUAGAUAAAUAAUUUACAUUUUAAUAAUUUAAAAAGGAAAUAAUUUCAUUAAAAGGAGUUAUAAUAUUAUAAAUUAAAUAGAAAAUGAGUAGAAAUUAAAUUAUAAUAUAAAUGCAUAUAUAGAUUUAUAAUAGCAUACAUUACAUGGAGUUAAUUAAUAUUGAAAAUAGUUUCAAUAAUUUUUACAUAUCUACUAAUAUCUUGACAUAUUUUUUUUUUAAUAUCUUUUUCUUAAAAUUCUCAUCACAAGAAAGUAUACUCAAUUAAUAUUGAAAAUAAUUUCAGUAAUUUUUACAUGCCCACUAAGAUUUUGAUAGAUUUUCUUCUUAUUCUCUCAAAUUCUUCUUUACAAUUUUAUUUCCUUCCCUAAAUAAAAUCUAUUUAUGUUUUUCUUCAAUUUCAGAAUUAAUUAUUUUGAUAUUGUCUAUGAUUUGUAAUUUUUAUUUAGUUUUUUUAAAAAAAAAAAAAUUUAAAAUGUUCCACACCCAAGUCCUCGAAAAUUUAUCUCAUUAUUGGUUUAUCUUCAAUAAAUGGGUAAGGCUAUAACCAUAAAUACAUAAGUUGUAUAAAACUAUGAAUGUAAGAACUUUUAUUUAUUUAUUUUGUAUUAUCUUGUUAUGUCUUGCCCCAUCCCAAUUAUAUAUAUAUAUAUAUAAUUAAUAAAAAAAAUAUUGUAAUUUAUUUUUUAUUUCUCCUUUUUAACACAAGAUGAAAAAUAUCUAAUUUUCAAAACAACAAAUUAUAAAUAUUUAUAAUAUUUAUUUAUUUAUAUAUUAUAUUUAUUUUCAAUGUAAUUCAAAAUUCUAAAACCAAAUAUUUGAAAAAAAAAAUAAACAAAAUAAACAGGGUGGGGCAUAUGGUAAUGAAAAAUUCUAAUCCCACCCUUGCCCCUUCAAUUUUUUUAUUUGACCCUGUCUCGUUGUCAUCUUUAUAUAAAGUCAACUAUGUAAUCUAAAUUUACUUGCCUGAAUGCACAACCACAAUAUGAAUCCUAAUGUAAACCAUAAUAUAUACCAAACUUCUCAAAUACACUAAUAUAUGAAACAUUAUACAUUGCAUUCAAGUUUUUGUUUAAGUGACAAGACAUCUUUUUGCACUAAGCUUCAUAUGAGGUGUUAAAUGAAUGCUUAUACAUUAAGUCUCAAAACUUACAAUGAAGCAUUGAAGGACAACUUAGAAUAUUGCUUUUACAACAAUCCAAGAAGCCUCCUUUUUAUAUUCUCUAACGUUUUGCAUCCCUAAAAUUCCUUCUCCAUGAUCCUUCAUUUCAAAUCAACUCUUAAUCGAUUUUUCAACAUUUCAAUUAUUAUCGUACUUUUACACACAAUAAAUAAAUAAAUAAAUAAAUAAAAUCAUCAAUAGACAUGAGCAAAUAAACAAAGUUUUCAUCAAACAAUUUUCUAAACAAACACAAUUAUCAAAUUAAUAUUUGAUGUAAUUCUCCCCUCUCAUAAAAUGAUCAAACCAUUUGUACUACUAUCAAGUAGAUUAUUUCAAACCAUAUAUAAAAACAUAUUAUUUUUCGGGUUCUUUAUAACCUUUAGGUUGGAUUCAUAUAUAUCUCCUCAUCUAAAUUACCAUGAAAAAAAGAUAAUUUUCACAUCCAAUAACAUAACUCGAAAUCAAUAUGAUACCCUUAGGGGGUGUUUGGUACACGGGAAUAGGGAGUGAGAAUAGACAUCUCAUUCCUUUUCUCCCUUAUUCCUAUGUUUGGAUAAAUGUUAAGAAGACGGAAAUGAAAUAAAAAAUUAUUCAGGCAGAAAUCAAAUCCAACUUAUGAGUCGGAUUUGUAUUCAUUAAAAAUAGGUGGUAUUCUGAUUCAUUAAACUUAUUUGAUAAUAUAAAAUAACCUAAAUUAUUAUUUUACCCUCUUAUCUUGUUCUUCAAACCCGAUGUUUAUCUUUUUUGUAAAGGUAGAGAUCCAUUCAUCAUCCACUUCUUAUCUUCUUUGCAAAGCUAGAGACUCACUCAUCAUCCAAUUCUUUGCAACAAGUGAUUCUUCCAAAUUGAAUCAAUUAAACCUUCCACGAUAUUUUAAAAAAAAAAUCAAUUUCUAAUUUAUAGGGUUUUGGAUGUUCAUUUUGAUUGUUGGAUCUAGGAUUCGUCAUUAUUUGCUGCAACUAGGUUCUGAAAACUCCCUUCUACAUCUUCGAUCAGGUUUACCUUAUUUUCUCUUUCUUCUUCUACUUCUUUAUAUGUGUUUCUUCUUCUCUAUAAAUCAAUUAAUUUUUUUUUUAUUAAUUUAUAUUUGGAAUCUUUUAUGUUUCUUUAUCUUAUAUUAAUGGAAACUAGAGAGAAAAAUUGAAAUGGUUGGAAAAAGAUUUUUCGAUUUCACGUGUUUACAAUAUUGAAAAUUUUUAAUGGUUAGGAAAAAAAUAAAAAGAAAAAAACAAACAAAAACAAAACUUUUGAUUUUUUUUUUCCCUUUGUUUAUUAUUAUCAGCGUCUUCCUUUCCUAGUUAAAGCUAUGAAUUCUUUUAUUUCCUCUUUUGAAAAUAGGAAAAACAUUUGCUAGCUUUGAAAAUUUAAAUAUUAUAAUAAAUAAUUUUUUUUAAAAAAAAAAUAAUUUUAUAACUACUUAAGCAUGACAAAUUAUUCAAAUGUUUAAUAAAAAUAAUAAUUGAAUAUUUGUGCAUUAGGUUAUACGAUUUUUUAUGGUUAAUUUUUUAUUUAUUGAGUAUGUAUAUAUUUUUUAGUCUUAUUAUUUAAUAACAAAAAAUCUCUCAAAUUUUAUUUUUUUAAAAUAAAAGUAAAAAUAAAAAAAAUUAAAUUAUAUGUAAAGAUAUUAUUGUAAAUUUAUUUCAUUUUCAUUUUCAUUCCUAUUAUUAUCAAACAUUGAAAUGGAAACAAAUAAUCAUUCCAAUUUUGCAUUCCUAAGUUCAUCCAAAUGCUAGAAAUGGAAUCAUCACAUUCAUUCCAUUCCACUAAGAAAUAGGAAAGGAAACAAAAUAUUAUUUUCAUUUCUUAUUCCGACGUACCAAACACUCCCUUAUGGUAUACUAUCUUUUCCUCACAAUCCCUAUUUCUUUUUUAUACAACUUGUAUUACUCCCUACCAUUUUCUGAUCAGUCUCUUAAUUUUCUUUCCAAUGUAGUUUGCAGUCAUGGUUUUAUACUUUUGGGGAAUAUUGUGCUUCCUACAAGUGUACCUCCUUGUAAAAGUACAAGUGUUAUCAUGCGGAUUGCCCUAGGUAGAAAUCAAAGCAAAAUUUGAAUCAUACCUUCUUUUUUUUUCAAGUGUCCCUUAUGGCAAAUCCAUGGAUACCAUCUAGACCGAUUGUCGGAUAGUAGUCAUGGUUCCGGUUCAGUCUAUUCCCCUCGGUCCCCCCGCCCCUUAGCUGCCCAUCUCCAUCACCCACUGCCCAACGCGCUGCCACCGUUACUAUUGCCACCGGCCCGUCGUGCUGCCGCCAACGAGGAGGUGAAAUCCAUUUUCGUGAGAUUAUUAUUUAAUUUAGAAUUUAGAAUUUAUAUUUUUUUUACUUUAUUUGCACUUUUAAUUUCCAUAUUUUAUUAUUUUAUUUUCAUUUUCAUAUUCCAUAUUUUAUUAUUUUAUUUUCAUUUCCAUAUUCCAUAUUUUAUUUUCAUUUCCACAUAUGAAGAAGCAAAUAUUAAUACUUUUUGUUUUAUUCUAAUAAUAUAUAAAAUACAUAUAUUUAUGACUUCACUUUGUUUGAUAAUUGAUCUAAUCAAUAAAUCAAAAGAUAAUUUUAUCGUUUUAAUGAUGGAUCUAAUUCUGAAAAUAUUGGUGGAUACACACCUUUCUCGUGAGUGCGUUGGCGUGGAGGACCUGUAGAGUGCACGAAAUUUGAUAUCAACAUAAAGAAUUAGCCCACUUGGGAAAAAAAUCGAAAUAUUAUUGACUGGUCUUUACAGCCCUGUGAAGAUCAAAGAAUGGCUAAUCCCUCCCCAACUGCUGUUUUUGAAACAAUAUAUGAAAGAUUAUGUUGACACAGACAAGCCUCUUCAUCACCAGGUAGUCUCAUCUUUUAUUUUUGGCGCAAGUUUUCCUUGUGUCCAGGUCUUCAGCAUCUGUAGUGCAGCUUUGGGCUGAUCCAUGGGAACCAUGUGACCAGCAUUGUGGACCUUGAGAAAAGCGAGACGUCCAUGGUACUUUAGCUGUCCCGCUUCUUUACCAUCAACUAGAUAUGGAACAGUCGGAGAUGC
rnacentral:lncRNA from 1 species